rnacentral:rRNA from 1 species
GAUGAACGCUAGCGGGAGGCUUAACACAUGCAAGUCGAGGGGCAUCACGAGGUAGCAAUACUUUGGUGGCGACCGGCGCACGGGUGAGUAACACGUAUGCAACCUUCCCUGUACAGGGGGAUAACCCGGAGAAAUUCGGACUAAUACCCCAUGAUGAUAUUAUGGGGCAUCCUUUAAUAUUUAAAGCUCUGGCGGUACAGGAUGGGCAUGCGCGACAUUAGCUAGUUGGUAAGGUAACGGCUUACCAAGGCGACGAUGUUUAGGGGACCUGAGAGGGUUGUCCCCCACACUGGUACUGAGACACGGACCAGACUCCUACGGGAGGCAGCAGUGAGGAAUAUUGGUCAAUGGGUGCAAGCCUGAACCAGCCAUCCCGCGUGAAGGACGACUGCCCUAUGGGUUGUAAACUUCUUUUGUGUCAGAAGAAUAAGCUUGUCGAGACGAGUGAUGCCGGUAUGACAGGAAUAAGCAUCGGCUAACUCCGUGCCAGCAGCCG